rnacentral:rRNA from 1 species
AGUGAACGCUGGCGGUAGGCCUAACACAUGCAAGUCGAACGGCAGCACAGUAAGAGCUUGCUCUUACGGGUGGCGAGUGGCGGACGGGAGAGGAAUACAUCGGAAUCUACUUUUUCGUGGGGGAUAACGUAGGGAAACUUACGCUAAUACCGCAUACGACCUACGGGUGAAAGCAGGGGAUCUUCGGACCUUGCGCGAUUGAAUGGGCCGAUGUCGGAUUAGCUAGUUGGCGGGGUAAAGGCCCACCAAGGCGACGAUCCGUAGCUGGUCUGAGAGGAUGAUCAGCCACACUGGAACUGAGACACGGUCCAGACUCCUACGGGAGGCAGCAGUGGGGAAUAUUGGACAAUGGGCGCAAGCCUGAUCCAGCCAUACCGCGUGGGUGAAGAAGGCCUUCGGGUUGUAAAGCCCUUUUGUUGGGAAAGAAAAGCAGCAGGUUAAUACCCCGCUGUUCUGACGGUACCCAAAGAAUAAGCACCGGCUAACUUCGUG